rnacentral:rRNA from 1 species
CCCCUAGAUGUUCUGGGCCGCACGCGCGCUACACUGAACAGUUCAACAAGUCUUAACCUUGGCCGAUAGGUCUGGGUAAUCUUUGAACGCUGUUCGUGAUUGGGAUAGACCUUUGCAAUUAUGGGUCUUCAACGAGGAAUUCCUAGUAAACGCAAGUCAUCAGCUUGCAUUGAUUACGUCCCUGCCCUUUGUACACACCGCCCGUCGCACCUACCGAUUGAAAGGUCCGGUGAAAUCUCGGGACGGCGGCUUGGUCGCUUGCGUCCGACUGCUGAAACUUGAUUAAACCAUAUCAUUUAGAGGAAGGUGAAGUCGUAACA